rnacentral:rRNA from 1 species
AGCCGCCGCGGUAAUACGGGGGGGGCAAGCGUUGUUGGGAUUUACUGGGCGUAAAGGGCGUGUAGGCGCCUCUUCAAUUGGAGUGGGAAAGUUCCAGGUUUAACCAGGGAAUUCCGCUGGAUACUGUUGAGUUGGAGUGUGGAAGGGGAUACUGGAAUUUUGUGUGUAGCGGUGAAAUGCGUAGAUAUACGGAGGAACACCAGCGGCGAAGGCGGGUAGCGGGGCCAACACUGACGUGGAUGUGGGAAAGCUAGGGGAGCAAACGGGAUUAGAUACCCCGGUAUUCCUACCCUUAAACGAUGAUGACUUGGUUUUGCAGGUUUUUAGUCCCGGGGUGCCGGAGCUAACGCGUUAAGUCAUCCGCCUGGGGAGUACGGUCGCAAGGCUGAAACUCAAAUGAAUUGACGG